ACGGGUGAGUAACGCGUGGGAAUCUACCGUGCCCUGCGGAAUAGCUCCGGGAAACUGGAAUUAAUACCGCAUACGCCCUACGGGGGAAAGAUUUAUCGGGGUAUGAUGAGCCCGCGUUGGAUUAGCUAGUUGGUGGGGUAAAGGCCUACCAAGGCGACGAUCCAUAGCUGGUCUGAGAGGAUGAUCAGCCACAUUGGGACUGAGACACGGCCCAAACUCCUACGGGAGGCAGCAGUGGGGAAUAUUGGACAAUGGGCGCAAGCCUGAUCCAGCCAUGCCGCGUGAGUGAUGAAGGCCUUAGGGUUGUAAAGCUCUUUCACCGGAGAAGAUAAUGACGGUAUCCGGAGAAGAAGCCCCGGCUAACUUCGUGCCAGCAGCCGCGGUAAUACGAAGGGGGCUAGCGUUGUUCGGAAUUACUGGGCGUAAAGCGCACGUAGGCGGAUAUUUAAGUCAGGGGUGAAAUCCCAGAGCUCAACUCUGGAACUGCCUUUGAUACUGGGUAUCUUGAGUAUGGAAGAGGUAAGUGGAAUUCCGAGU
rnacentral:rRNA from 1 species